UAAAUAACAAAGGGGAGCUCGUGUACCGGGCUGAGAGGAAGUUAGAACUUCGACCCAUAAACCUGAUUUGGAUAAUGCCAACGUAGGGAACAUAAGCUGAGAUAUU
rfam:Fusobacterium necrophorum subsp. funduliforme 1_1_36S genomic scaffold supercont1.1, whole genome shotgun sequence.